AUUGAACGCUGGCGGCAGGCUUAACACAUGCAAGUCGAGCGGAGUGAUGGUGCUUGCACUAUCACUUAGCGGCGGACGGGUGAGUAAUGCUUAGGAAUCUGCCAUUUAGUGGGGGACAACAUUCCGAAAGGAAUGCUAAUACCGCAUACGUCCUACGGGAGAAAGCAGGGGAUCUUCGGACCUUGCGCUAAAUGAUGAGCCUAAGUCGGAUUAGCUAGUUGGUGGGGUAAAGGCCUACCAAGGCGACGAUCUGUAGCGGGUCUGAGAGGAUGGUCCGCCAAACUGGGACUGAGACACGGCCCAGACUCCUACGGGAGGCAGCAGUGGGGAAUAUUGGACAAUGGGCGGAAGCCUGAUCCAGCCAUGCCGCGUGUGUGAAGAAGGCCUUUUGGUUGUAAAGCACUUUAAGCGAGGAGGAGGCUACUAGUACUAAUACUACUGGAUAGUGGACGUUACUCGCUGAAUAAGCACCGGCUAACUCUGUGCCAGCCGCCGCCGUAAUAC
rnacentral:rRNA from 1 species